rnacentral:rRNA from 1 species
GAUCCUGGCUCAGGAUUAACGCUGGCGGCGCACAUAAGACAUGCAAGUCGAACGGACUUAAUCGAUUCUUUUAGAUUCGAAGCGGUUAGUGGCGGACUGGUGAGUAACACGUAAGGAACCUGCCUAUUAGAGGGGAAUAACAACGAGAAAUCGUUGCUAAUACCGCAUAAGCUAGUAGUACCGCAUGGUACAGCUAGAAAAGGAGAAAAUCCCACUAAUAGAUGGCCUUGCGUCCGAUUAGCUAGUUGGUGGGG